UGACUUUUAGAAGCAUAGGAAGGGAUCCC
rnacentral:piRNA from 1 species